rnacentral:tRNA from 1 species
GGAGACUUGGUUUCACAGUGGUUAAGCACUUGGUUGCUAACCAAAAGGUGGGUGGUUUGAAUCCACCAGCCUUCG